rnacentral:sRNA from 1 species
GCUGGGCGUGGUGGCGCACGCCUGUAGUCCCAGCUACUCCGGAGGCUGAGACAGGAGAAUCGCUUGAACCUGGGAGGCAGAGGUUGCAGUGAGCUGAGAUAGUACCACUGCACUUCAGCCUGGGCAACAGAGCGAGACUCCGUCUCAA